GGGGAAGGAGAAGGGGGGGGAGGAUUAGUUCUUCAGCCGGGAGACCAACGAGGGAGCUUCAGACCCACAGAGAGAAGACCGAGGGGUGGGAGCUGCGGAAAGAGACCCUCCCUUUGGGGUAGGGGGUCUUGGAUCGCUUGGAAGAGGAGAGAGAGAGGAUCAUUGCACCGCUUCUGCAGGAUCGAGGAGGCGACCACCCGUUCUGGCUGCUCCUGGUUUUUUCCUCCCUCCAUCCGAAUCGCGCUCCACUUCCUUGUUGGCGGAAAAGAGGGAAAAACAGAGAGAGAGAGCGAGAAAGAGAGAGAGAAGAAGGCAAACCUCAGAAGGAGGACUGUUUCUGUCUUUGGUUAUCUAGCUGUAUGAGUGUUAUCAAGCCAUCAUAAAGCUAGAUAACCGAAAGUAGAAAUGACUUCCAUCGCCUUCUGGAAGGAGAAGAGAAGAACGAGGAGGAAGAGGGGGAAAAAAAGGAAAAGAAAAGAAGAAGAAAAGUUUGAAGAACGGAAGACAAGAGCAUCAUCCUCAAAUCUCCAAGAAGACCAACAGACCGGACCACCCUUCGAAGGAGAUGCUCAGAUCUGCAAGAACAGAUAUGACUGAGAGUUCCUGACUUGGGAUGGAAUGAACCCAGGGGCCAAGAUGCUUCUCCUACAUCUCUCAGCAAGUCAGAAGAGGUGAGUCAAUGGGUGAAGGGAA